rnacentral:rRNA from 1 species
UACAGAGGGGGCAAGCGUUGUUCGGAAUUACUGGGCGUAAAGGGCGCGUAGGCGGCCUUCUAAGUCGAACGUGAAAUCCCCGGGCUCAACCCGGGAACUGCGUCCGAUACUGGAAGGCUUGAAUCCGGGAGAGGGAUGCGGAAUUCCAGGUGUAGCGGUGAAAUGCGUAGAUAUCUGGAGGAACACCGGUGGCGAAGGCGGCAUCCUGGACCGGCAUUGACGCUGAUGCGCGAAAGCGUGGGUAGCAAACAGG